GCGCGCUUAGCUCAGUAGCAGAGCAUCUCAUUGACGUUGAGAGGGUCGAAAGUGCAACUCUUUCAGCGCGCA
rnacentral:tRNA from 1 species